GGUGAUACAUGAGCUGAAAAGGAGACUUGAUCAGGUUGUAAAUCACAGCUCGUACAUUGCUUGCUGCCUGAUGUUUAAGUUUCAGUCACUCAAUAUUUUGGACAAAUACGGGCGAAAGUAAGGCGGGAAUCUCAACACAAUCAAACUAGCAUGGGCAAUGAUCAUAAAUCAUAACGUGGCUAAUAGGCUAUCUUAUCAACAGUUUUAAUGUAUUUCUUGAGUACACUAAAAAAAGAGAAACCUGUUGUAGCUAGCUAGCUAGCUGCUGGGAGGAUGUAAUGUCAUCACUUGGACGAGUGGCUAAAGCUAAUAAGUUGUAAUUUGGUCAUUUGUUAGCUAGCUAACAAGAAAUGUGACACACCUCUUGAACUAUUGUUAUCCAUGGUUAGCAUAUGUCUUAGUUGUCAAUCAAAUGUAUUUGGCAUUGAUCAAAUUGUCAGGCAAGAAAGCUGGUUAAUCCUAUUCAGUUGUCAAAAACGUGGGUUAUGGUACAUAAGUAGGUAUUUGAGGGCAGGCUGCAGCAGGGCUAGCGAGCAGGCUACUACACAGGCUACUACCAGUGCAAUUACUCGCUGAAAAAGUUUGACAGAGUUUAUCCAAAGAUACUGGUUUGCCCUUUUGUCUGUGGUUUAUCCCUCACUAGAUUUCAUUUGAGCUGUUGCAGCUCCCUGUGAAAAAAUGGUUCAAAGUGAAUUGCAUAUCGCCAUAUCGCAAUGGCUUAUUUCCAUAUACACCAACUGUAGCUCUGAUUGGUUAUGGUGCAUCGUUCUGUUUAAAGACUGGGCAUGGACAAGAUUGACGCGUUUUUAUUCAUUUUUAAUCGACUGUGGUGUCUAUUAAUUGUCCAAACGCACGGCCGCUUUCCCAUUCACAUUAAUAUAGAAAUUUAACAAAUACCCAAUUCAACUUAAUUCCCAAACAUUCUAUGAUUUAAAAUGUAAAUUAUAAUAAUUCACCAUAUUCUUCCCGAGGGUGUAAAUAAACAUAUUUUAAUUAGAUUUAAUGAUGCUAAAACGCUGUUAGUUCUUAUAAGGUUUUUGUUCACAGACUUUUACCACAUUGUUUUCAUCAAAGGAUAAAUGUGUGUUGAUUCAGAAUGUGGUGUUGAUACAAAAUUAUUUGGCAGGAUUGGAUUGACUUGUUGAUUGCAGAAGGCAUAAACUUGUUUUAAAAGAGCAACCUGCAGUUCAAACAAUAACAAAGUGUCUCAUCU
rnacentral:lncRNA from 1 species